ACUAUGCUUAGCUAUAAAACUUGACAACUUAAUACACCUGUUGUCCGCCCGGGAACUACGAGCGAAAGCUUAAAACCCAAAGGACUUGGCGGUGCUUUAUAUCCUU
rnacentral:rRNA from 1 species